GGCUGGUCCAAGUGCAGUGUGUUUACAACUAAUUGAUCACAACCAGUUACAGAUUUCUUUGUUCCUUCUCCACUCCCACCGCUUCACUUGACUAGCCUUAA
ensembl:Y_RNA Y_RNA Y RNA